CAUGGUGCAUAAAUUUUUUCUUUUACUGCGGAUUCUAAUAGUAGGCCAGCGACGGAUCAUUGGCCGCCUUAUCCGUAAUAAUGCUUUGUUUGGAAACAACAAUAACAAAUUGUCUUUCGGAGCGGAUAAGCCGGCUAGUUUCGGUUGAUUUGGAUUUGGAUUUGGAUUGGCUAACCGGUGGCUCAGACGUCGCAGUUCGGCCAGGCGCGAGCCGGUCAUACUAAGCCACAUUCGACUGGAUUCAGGUGGAUUGAUCCUCAGUGUGUCUGUCAUGAAUAUUUUUUAUUGAAUUGCGACAGGGAUGGCAUUUACACGGAUGCUCAGAGCUAAGGAUUGGUCAAUCGAUUGGCAAAGUAUCAUGACAAGACGCCUUAUCCGACUCUCAUUUACCCAGAGGUUCCAAACCGGAGGAUGAAAUCAACACAGAGAAUCGAAUUAUAGCGAACUGGAUGUAGUUCCGACCAAAAGCAUGAUGAAUGCUUUGAAGAGGGAAGCCUUGAAUUCACUUCAUCAGAACCUUAUUAUAUACCACAUUGGAGCGGUGGGUGCAGUUGACCUCCACAAACGUCAAAUCAGAGACUAACCUGCAGGCAAGCUGGCGGCCAUUACCGCUCGUGGAAAGCUGGAUAAUGAUUUCAGAGAGUUAACUCCUAAUAUGCCGCUUGCCCCGCGCUUUUGGUACCUCUUCCACGGUUACAUCACCUUUUGGUGGGACAAUUUCAUCAUCGGCAGCAUGAGUACAAGAAAUACGGAGACGCAACGUGGCUAGAAAUCGUACAUAUUUUACAAUACAAUUUUUUGUUUUACAAUUUAUUUUAUUAAGAGGGAAAAUUUACAUUUCUUGUGAGAUGCAAAAAAUGAUUUUCAUCAUUAAAAAAUAUCGUCACACUCAA